rnacentral:rRNA from 1 species
CCUACGGGAGGCAGCAGUGGGGAAUAUUGCACAAUGGGCGCAAGCCUGAUGCAGCCAUGCCGCGUGUGUGGAGAAGGCCUUCGGGUUGUAAAGCACUUUCAGCGGGGAGGAAGGCGGUGAGGUUAAUAACCUCAUCGAUUGACGUUACCCGCAGAAGAAGCACCGGCUAACUCCGUGCCAGCAGCCGCGGUAAUACGGAGGGUGCAAGCGUUAAUCGGAAUUACUGGGCGUAAAGCGCACGCAGGCGGUCUGUCAAGUCGGAUGUGAAAUCCCCGGGCUCAACCUGGGAACUGCAUUCGAAACUGGCAGGCUAGAGUCGUGUAGAGGGGGGUAGAAUUCCAGGUGUAGCGGUGAAAUGCGUAGAGAUCUGGAGGAAUACCGGUGGCGAAGGCGGCCCCCUGGACAAAGACUGACGCUCAGGUGCGAAAGCGUGGGGAGCAAACAGGAUUAGAUACCCUUGUAGUC